ensembl:snRNA U1 U1 spliceosomal RNA
ACACUUAUCUGGGAGAGGAGAAGCCAUGAUCCUGAAGCUGGCUUUCCAGGACGUGGUGGCCCUCUUGAUGUGGCAACUCUUCAAUUUUCCUCAGUAUGGGAACUUCAACUGCAUAAUUCACAUUAGUUGAAGGACUGUGUUCAUGUUUUCUAC